CAGCCGCCGCGGUAAUGCGAAGGGGGCUAGCGUUGUUCGGAAUUACUGGGCGUAAAGCGCACGUAGGCGGAUUUUUAAGUCAGGGGUGAAAUCCCGAGGCUCAACCUCGGAACUGCCUUUGAUACUGGAGAUCUUGAGUUCGGAAGAGGUUGGUGGAACAGCUAGUGUAGAGGUGAAAUUCGUAGAUAUUAGCUAGAACACCAGUGGCGAAGGCGGCCAACUGGUCCGAUACUGACGCUGAGGUGCGAAAGCGUGGGGAGCAAACAGGAUUAGAUACCCCUGUAGUCCCUGUCUCUUAUAC
rnacentral:rRNA from 1 species